ensembl:lincRNA 2700046A07Rik RIKEN cDNA 2700046A07 gene
UCCAUUGUCUUGGAGCAGGGCCACCCUCACACAGGAAGCUGUGUGUAUCACCGCUCACUGCAGGCAGAAACUCUGCAAAGGCCUUCCUAUGACUGAUAAACGGUGUUUGGUUUGGAUCGGGAGGAAAAAUAAGGUGCUCGGGAUAACAGGGGGCCGGUGGGAAAACAUUCGGAACUCCAGAAUGAGAGCAAAAGAAGAGACCGCUUUGAAGGUUCCAUGAGGUGGUUAACUAACAAGGAACAAUGAGGGCAGCCCAGGCAGGGGCUUCCUUCCACCCAGCUGCACUCAAAGCCACCGGUGGCCAGGGAGCUGGCAGGAACCCUGUUAUGGCUGGGGAGAACAAACAGGCUUGGUCAAGGAAGCCAAGCCCCCUUCAAAGAACUACGCUCCAACCCCCACAGCUUCAGGAGUGUUUGCUGACAAGGUCUAGGCUCACAGAAGACAACGAGGCUGGAGAAAAUCUGAACAGUUUGGUGAGAGAAGGGACGGGGAUUGAAGGUAUAAGAAAAGGACUGUGCCAGUUUGGGUCUCUGAUCCAGGGACCAGGGCUACCAGAUCCUGCAGUUGGGAAGUUGUCCGGCUGUACCAGCACCUUGUGUACCCACCGGGCCCCUGGGGCUGUAGUAGGCAGCUGUUGGCAUUAACAAACAGAGUUAUCUGCAGAGGAAAUAAUCAGAGAUCCUUCUCCCAUACCCAGAGAAUGCCUAAAACCACAGAUGGUAUUGAAUUGUAUUAAAAUUGUGUGUUUCCUGUACACAUAUACUUAUGUUAAAGUUUCACCAUAGUAAUAAAGUGCUCAAUCAAAGCAA